UGAUUGAUUGGUUUCUAAUAGAACACACACUUGCAAUAAAAAAUUCUUCAAUCAGAAAGUACCCCAGAAACUAAUCUUGCUCUUGAGAAGAUUAAAAGGCCUUUAUAUGAAAAGCAUCCCAUGAGCAAAUUUGCAUGGACAAUAGCUGAAGACACUGAUACUAUGGAAUGGUACAACAUCUGCCAAGAUGCCCUAAGAAAAGUCAAUGAAUCGUAUCAAGGAAAAGAGACUGCUGACAUCAUUCAAAACAAAGUUUUGCAGGUA